rnacentral:lncRNA from 1 species
UUUCAUUUGCAUUUAAUAUCUUUCUACGAUUUCAUCAUACCAAGUUCUCAACCCGAGGAUUUAAGCACAUACCUGUCAAAUUUUCUCAUUCACCACACUUACCAAUAUGUCACCUUCGUUUUAGGCAUUCUUCUCAUUCACUUAAGAUUCACCCGUUGAACAUAUCGGAAUAUAAUUCGAAUACGCGGAUUUCAUGAACGUAAGUGCCAUACCCGCAGCUAGACAAACUCAAUAGCCUGCGG